ACGAACGCUGGCGGCGUGCUUAACACAUGCAAGUCGAACGGAAAGACCCCUUUGGGGGUACUCGAGUGGCGAACGGGUGAGUAACACGUGAGUAACCUGCCCUUGACUUCGGGAUAACUUCAGGAAACUGGGGCUAAUACCGGAUAGGAAUCCUUGCUGCAUGGUGGGGGUUGGAAAGCUUCGGCGGUUUUGGAUGGACUCGCGGCUUAUCAGCUUGUUGGUGGGGUAGUGGCUUACCAAGGCUUUGACGGGUAGCCGGCCUGAGAGGGCGACCGGCCACAUUGGGACUGAGAUACGGCCCAGACUCCUACGGGAGGCAGCAGUGGGGAAUAUUGCACAAUGGGCGGAAGCCUGAUGCAGCAACGCCGCGUGCGGGAUGACGGCCUUCGGGUUGUAAACCGCUUUCAGCAGGGGCGAAGCUUGUGGUGACGGUACCUGCAGAAGAAGCACCGGCUAACUACGUG
rnacentral:rRNA from 1 species